rnacentral:rRNA from 3 species
ACGGAAGGCAGCAGUGGGGAAUAUUGCACAAUGGGGGAAACCCUGAUGCAGCGACGCCGCGUGAGUGAAGAAGUAUUUCGGUAUGUAAAGCUCUAUCAGCAGGAAAGAAAAUGACGGUACCUGACUAAGGAGCCCCGGCUAACUACGUGCCAGCAGCCGCGGUAAUACGUAGGGGGCAAGCGUUAUCCGGAUUUACUGGGUGUAAAGGGAGCGUAGACGGCUUUGCAAGUCUGAAGUGAAAGCCCGGGGCUCAACCCCGGAACUGCUUUGGAAACUGUAGAGCUAGAGUGCAGGAGAGGUAAGUGGAAUUCCUAGUGUAGCGGUGAAAUGCGUAGAUAUUAGGAGGAACACCAGUGGCGAAGGCGGCUUACUGGACUGUAACUGACGUUGAGGCUCGAAGGCGUGGGGAGCAAACAGGAUUAGAUACCCUGGUA